rnacentral:ncRNA from 1 species
UCAAAUGCAAUGAAGAGGAAGAGUAGGACAUUUAUUUUUUUAAAGAGAGAAAGCGGUUGGUGCAAGCUUUCAAAAAUGAUGUCUGAAGGUAGCCUUGGAGCAGUAUUCCUGAAUUUAUAGUAAGGAAUAACCGGUAGAUUUCUCUAUCGUUAACACAAUGAAGUGCCUGCAAUUUUUUUUCUGUGGGUAAAAAGGUGGUACCGCGAAUAAUACUCUUUUCGUCCUUUUA